CAUGCUAGUUGUACGAGUUGAGACUCUUUAGCAGAUAGCUCAGUAACACGUGGCAAACUACCCUAUGGAUCCAGACAACCUCGGGAAACUGAGGCUAAUCUGGAAUAGGGCUCUCAUCCUGGAGUGGAGAGAGCCUGAAAUGCUCCGGCGCCAUAGGAUGUGGCUGCGGCCGAUUAGGUAG
rnacentral:rRNA from 1 species